rnacentral:lncRNA from 1 species
CGUAGCUCCAUAGUUAGCGCCCUACCACCGAGACCAGAGAUAGCGGUACCCUGAGUCGGCCUUACUUAGGGAUGUAAAGAAUGAAAAGAAUCAAGUUGUAAUAAUAUUGUUAAAUUGGAUUGUAUUUGGAAGUUAAGUGAAAGCUAAUGUUGGAAUCUAAUGAGAUUUGUGAUGUAAAAAUGGAUGAAUGUGAAUGCAUGUAAUAACAUAGGAUAUGUUAUGUUGUUUGAUACCUUCCAUUAUGCAAUCCUUGAUUGCAAUGUGUUUCUGGUUGGAACUUCGCACAUUAUAUUGAUUGCUAUGCCUUGAACGUACAGGGGAGACUCUGUCCGCAGUAUAGGGGAAACCCUGUCCGUUCGGCGAUCUGUCGGCGGCGCCGCGACCCGGCCAAAUAGGCGGGCUGUCGCGGGGCGUGACAGUUGAUGACGCAACAGUCCUAUUUGGACAGUUUACUUGGACCGGCCACCCCCGUGGGUGAUGUACGGUGUAGCUUCGAUACAGGUUGGGUAGGUCCGUUUGGGCAGCCCUUGUAAGAUUGGGUCAGUGUGAUGGAUGUCUAUGUCUAUAGAUAGCCUGUGUUGGUUAGCGAUAGUAUAGUGGUAUGUAGCUGUAGAGUUCUUUUUAGCUUUCCUUACUAUCCUGUGCAUACUCUACUGUAGACUUAGUGGGUGGGCCGUUGAGGUUGGU